CAGUCGCCGCGGUAAAACGGAGGGUGCAAGCGUUAUCCGGAUUUAUUGGGUUUAAAGGGUCCGUAGGCGGAUCUGUAAGUCAGUGGUGAAAUCUCACAGCUUAACUGUGAAACUGCCAUUGAUACUGCAGGUCUUGAGUAAAUUUGAAGUGGCUGGAAUAAGUAGUGUAGCGGUGAAAUGCAUAGAUAUUACUUAGAACACCAAUUGCGAAGGCAGGUCACUAAGAUUUAACUGACGCUGAUGGACGAAAGCGUGGGGAGCGAACAGGAUUAGAUACCCGCGUAGUCCCUGUCUCUUAUAC
rnacentral:rRNA from 1 species